rnacentral:misc_RNA from 1 species
GAAACAUCUAAAUCUCCAAUUCAUAUUAUGCAUGAUAUUGUACAAGAAAAUAGCAUCCACCAAAUUGAUUACAAAAGCUGUAGUUGGGACGUCGUACAAAAAAUCCAUUGGCUUAACUUUAACAGUGAGAUUUCUCUGUUAACAAUUCCAUGUGCAACUUCAAAGAAUAAUUAAAGACAUUCACUAGAUACUCGCAUGGGAACGAUUAGCCAUUGCAAAUACCUUGGAGGGUCUCUGCGGAGGAAGAUGGUGAUAUACAUGCACCUAUAUCCACUUCAACAACACCACAUGUUAGCCUACUAAAGCUUUUAUUUAGAUUAAUCCUAUUGGUCAGAAGUUGAAGAAUUUAAGGACCAGUAUCUGUAGCUGGUGAGUCUGGAAUAACUUGAUCCGUCAAUAUUGGUCCUGAAUCUACUUGAUCACUAGCUAGUGGAGUAGAGCUGGUUUCAUUUAUUGUGAUGGGGGUAGAGCCCUUCUGAUCUGUUGGUUGUAGGGCAGAGUUUGUUUGACCCGUCACUGGUGGAGUGGAGUUCUUUUGAUCUGUUGUGGACUGGUCAAGGUUCAUUUGAUUAGUUUCUGGUUGAGAUGUAGUUGGCUGUAUUGAAUUUUUUCUAUCGAGGUUAGUUUCAGCACUUUCAUAUUCAGACAGGAGAUCCAUGAAUUCAUUGAGUAAACGCUGAACUUUUCUAUUUGAUGCCAUUGAAGGAAGAAUAUCUUCCCUCAAGAGUUUGUGCUUUUUCAUUCCCUGCAAAGUGCCAGAAUAGUGACUCAGACAAUGCCUUAACAAUCCCAUUUUCAUUUUAAAUUCACAAAGUAAAUAAAAAAUAAACGAAACCCUGCAUGCUCAGAAAAAAGGUGCUGUUUAAAGUAAAAAGUAAUACAAGAAUAAAUCGAACUAAACUUGACAAAGAGAAAGAAAUAGGAUUUUGAAGCAACUCGAUGUAUAAUAUUCAUAAUAAUUUUUCAGAUGACUAUUAUACAAUCUUCUCGGAUCACAUGUAAAAAAAAUAACCAAACAAAUAUCACCGCCAUCAUAAAAUAUAAAUGCUUAGAAAUGCAGGAUUAUCCAUUUAUAAAAGAUGUGAAGUAAGCCUUACAAGCACAAAAGGAUCCCAAGCCAGAUUCUUUGCAUCUGAAUACGUAGAUUCAGCCAUCCCAGUAGGAGGUCCAAGAAAACUUUCACAGAACUCUCGCAAUCGAGCCUCGUCAGCUUCUCUAGCUAAGAAGCGUAUGUAUGAUAGAAGGCACUGGCGAUAUUCAUUUGGAGACUUCAAAGCUAGAGAGGAUGCCAACUGAGACUCUAAAUGAGCUCGUGUCUGAACUCCAUCAUCCGUUACCCUGUAAAAACACAAAAGCUAAAACUCUUGGAGCAAGUUAUUUUAACCAGAUACAUGAACAUUGAGAGCUGACAUUCACAAGUAGAAACAUCAUAAAGGUCAACAAUAACAGGACAGAAACAAAUAAAUUAGCUUUCAUUCAAUUUUUUUUAUGAAAGCAGUACAGGAUAAUUUUAGUAAGGCUUCUAUGUUACUAUUUCUAGUCAGUAUGCUCAUGGAAUCUAAGAAUUCUUAAAAAUCCAACAAAUUUUGCCAAUGCACAGUUGGAUGUAUACCUGCUCCAACCUGGCUUUCUGGCCAAAUAUUUCCUAACAUCCACCUGCAAUGCAGCCAACUCACCACUCUGAAUUGAACCCAAAUUCCAGGAGCUAGCAAAAUUUGAUGCAGGGAAGCAGUCAUCUGCCACCCUCAGCCAACAACUAAGAUUCAUGUUGAACAGGAAGGCAUGGCGUGUAGCCAAAACAACAAGAGGAGAACCAGAUUUUGACAACUUCGCAGAUAUAACUUUAAUUGUUCCUUUUGCAGACGAGUUUGGAUCUGAAGCAACUAGAGAUGACAAUGAGUCCUGAAGAAGACAUUUCUGGUUGAGUAAAUCCCAUAUAUAUAACAAUCCCUUCCUUGUUACCAGUAACAACUUCCAGCACUCAUCACAAUCUAUAAAGGUUGCUGCAGAUCCCAUCAUCAUAGUUGGCAUGGCACGCCUCCCACACUUUGUGUAAACCUGCAGACAUCCAUCUUCGCACCCAACAGCCCAGAAGUUCGCAUUUCCAGCCAAAACUGUGACUUUUCCAGAGAUCCUAUCAGACCAAAGAUUUUGAGCCCCUCUUGUGCAAACAAUUUCUGUUUCUUUCAUCAUACAGGUAUUUCCCACUCCAAUAAUGUCAUUUACAGUAUGCUCUCUAGGACGAGCUUCCAAACAAAUUGGUACAGUAUCUUCCCCUACUUUCUUAUCAAAUACCCUAAUAGAAAGAGAUGUAGUAUAAGCACUGGAGGAACUGGAUGCCUUCACACUUCCAGACUGCUCCACAUUGAUGCUACCAUCUCCUCCUGAAGAGCCCAGAACCUUCUCAAUGACCAAGCUCUCCGUAAUGGUAGCCCUAGCAGUGACCCCAGAUCGAUCUUUUGAAUCAGAGCUUCUGCCAAAUGUUCCCCUCAGAGAACCUUCACGCAAGCCACCAUCAGCAGGAACUACCCCAUUUUCAUCCUUUCCAUGAUUAUAUGCCACAAGAGGGAAGUCAAGUGCUUGAGACUGGACCCCACCAGUAAUUACUUCUUGCUGAUUCAGCACACCUACAGCUUCUGGAAUUAUUCUCUUUCUUCCAUCAGGGCGCCUGUAUUCUCUUUGUUUCACAGGACUAGAAAUCGAAGCAGAAGUUGUCACUUUAUUUAUGCCAUCACGAGCAGUUCCCUCACCCUUCUUUGCAUCAUCAACUUGCUCAGAAGUCUUUGUUGUCACCCCCAAGUCAGCAGAAGAUUUCACAGGAAUCUGAUUUUGUUGAAUAUCUGGCACCACUUUUUUGGCUGCUGUCUGUUUGGCUGAAGCUGCUUCAAGCAAUAACUGUGCUGGGCUCUCCGCCAAGUUUGCUUGUCGACCUCUGACAUCACCAUAACGACUUCUCUUUAGCUCAUCAAGCUCAGCAUCACUCAGCCUAUGUCCCAGCUCUUUUAUGUCAAAAUGGAAAGUAGCAACUGUCCCAUCCAAGGAACAAGCAAAAAGUGAAUACCCAUCAGGACUCCAAGACAAAUCUACCACACUCUGAGUAAAGAAAUGUUUCGCCACAAAAAGAGGACGAGGACUUGCAGUUGUCCAUACAGUUAUAGUGCGAUCCUGACUCCCAAUAGCAAUAACGUUAUAGGGCUGCGAUUCUUUCCCUCCAAUCUUAGAGGCCCCAUUAGCCCACCCAACAGGCGCAGCUUUCACCUCCUGAGCACCAGUGAAAUUCCUUCUAAACAUUGAAUGGUUAAAUUUCACCACAAUAAUGGGGGCAUUAUGUCCUAAGAAAUCAAAUGUGGCAGCCCAUUCCCCUCUCUCUAGAACAGGUGCAGAAUGCCUUGGCUUCUGGAAACCAUGAGUGGUAGUUAUGAAAUGGCCACAAGGAGACCAUCCAAGCCGCCUGAAAAAUGUAGAACCAAGUGAUUUUGCCCAGUGGCCAUCUGUUCUGUGAGCCAGACUCCAGUCGCUUGUCCGCCAUAUAAUGACUGUCUUAUCAUCAGAUUGACUAGCUAUGAAGGAGCCAAUAGGAUCCCAAGCUACUCCUUUAACCAGGCUAGAAUGACCUCUAAGAACAGCAGUGCAAAUGCCAUUGCUCAUAUUCCAAACAUGGACAGUGUUGUCCAAACUCCCACUAGCUAAUAUGGAGUCAUCUGGAGACCAAUUAAGAUCCACCACAUCUGCGGUGUGCCCUCUCAAAGUCAUUGCAACCUUCCAGUUCUCAACAUCUGGUGGCUCUCCACUGCCAAACUCAGUGGUUCCUGAACCAGGCUUCCUUUCAUGAACUAAAAUCACCUGAUCAUCAGACCCUGAUGCAACAUAUCGGCCAUGCUUAGCCCACCUAACACAGUUGACUGAUCCGAAGUGAUCUCGGAGCGUUGCAAGAAGCCUUUGUGUCGGUUCAUUAUUUUCCAAGUCUCUGCUAACAGAUUUCAUGUUCCAUAUCCUAACCUUGUGGUCACCUCCACCAGUCGCAAACCUGAGACCACCAGGUUGAAUGUCAAUGGAGAAAAUCUGCAUUCCCUCAUGCCUAACCCAGCUGGGUUUCUCUGCAAUCAUCCUUGUCUCGCUAACAACUCCUU